GGUUAAGCGACUAAGCGUACACGGUGGAUGCCCUGGCAGUCAGAGGCGAUGAAGGACGUGCUAAUCUGCGAAAAGCGACGGCGAGGUGAUAUGAACCUUUGACCCGUCGAUGUCCGAAUGGGGAAACCCAGUGUGAUUCGUCACACUAUCGUUAACUGAAUACAUAGGUUAACGAGGCGAACCGGGGGAACUGAAACAUCUAAGUACCCCGAGGAAAAGAAAUCAACCGAGAUUCCCCCAGUAGCGGCGAGCGAACGGGGAGCAGCCCGGAGUCUGAAUCAGCUUGUGUGUUAGUGGAAGCGUCUGGAAAGUCGCACGGUACAGGGUGACAGUCCCGUACACGAAAAUGCACAGGUUGUGAACUCGAAGAGUAGGGCGGGACACGUGGUAUCCUGUCUGAAUAUGGGGGGACCAUCCUCCAAGGCUAAAUACUCCUGACUGACCGAUAGUGAACCAGUACCGUGAGGGAAAGGCGAAAAGAACCCCGGCGAGGGGAGUGAAAAAGAACCUGAAACCGUGUACGUACAAGCAGUGGGAGCACCUUCGUGGUGUGACUGCGUACCUUUUGUAUAAUGGGUCAGCGACUUAUAUUCUGUAGCAAGGUUAACCGUAUAGGGGAGCCGAAGGGAAACCGAGUCUUAACUGGGCGUUAAGUUGCAGGGUAUAGACCCGAAACCCGGUGAUCUAGCCAUGGGCAGGUUGAAGGUUGGGUAACACUAACUGGAGGACCGAACCGACUAAUGUUGAAAAAUUAGCGGAUGACCUGUGGCUGGGGGUGAAAGGCCAAUCAAACCGGGAGAUAGCUGGUUCUCCCCGAAAGCUAUUUAGGUAGCGCCUCGUGAACUCAUCUUCGGGGGUAGAGCACUGUUUCGGCUAGGGGGCCAUCCCGGCUUACCAACCCGAUGCAAACUACGAAUACCGAAGAAUGUUAUCACGGGAGACACACGGCGGGUGCUAACGUCCGUCGUGAAGAGGGAAACAACCCAGACCGCCAGCUAAGGUCCCAAAGUCAUGGUUAAGUGGGAAACGAUGUGGGAAGGCACAGACAGCCAGGAUGUUGGCUUAGAAGCAGCCAUCAUUUAAAGAAAGCGUAAUAGCUCACUGGUCGAGUCGGCCUGCGCGGAAGAUGUAACGGGGCUAAACCAUGCACCGAAGCUGCGGCAGCGACGCUUAUGCGUUGUUGGGUAGGGGAGCGUUCUGUAAGCCGUUGAAGGUGUGCUGUGAGGCAUGCUGGAGGUAUCAGAAGUGCGAAUGCUGACAUAAGUAACGAUAAAGCGGGUGAAAAGCCCGCUCGCCGGAAGACCAAGGGUUCCUGUCCAACGUUAAUCGGGGCAGGGUGAGUCGACCCCUAAGGCGAGGCCGAAAGGCGUAGUCGAUGGGAAACAGGUUAAUAUUCCUGUACUUGGUGUUACUGCGAAGGGGGGACGGAGAAGGCUAUGUCAGCCGGGCGACGGUUGUCCCGGUUUAAGCGUGUAGGUGUGUGUUCCAGGCAAAUCCGGUUCACUUUAACACUGAGGCGUGAUGACGAGGCACUACGGUGCUGAAGUGAUAAAUGCCCUGCUUCCAGGAAAAGCCUCUAAGCAUCAGGUAACACGAAAUCGUACCCCAAACCGACACAGGUGGUCAGGUAGAGAAUACCAAGGCGCUUGAGAGAACUCGGGUGAAGGAACUAGGCAAAAUGGUGCCGUAACUUCGGGAGAAGGCACGCUGAUAUGUAGGUGAAGUCCCUGCGGACGGAGCUGAAAUCAGUCGAAGAUACCAGCUGGCUGCAACUGUUUAUUAAAAACACAGCACUGUGCAAACACGAAAGUGGACGUAUACGGUGUGACGCCUGCCCGGUGCCGGAAGGUUAAUUGAUGGGGUUAGCGGCAACGCGAAGCUCUUGAUCGAAGCCCCGGUAAACGGCGGCCGUAACUAUAACGGUCCUAAGGUAGCGAAAUUCCUUGUCGGGUAAGUUCCGACCUGCACGAAUGGCGUAAUGAUGGCCAGGCUGUCUCCACCCGAGACUCAGUGAAAUUGAACUCGCUGUGAAGAUGCAGUGUACCCGCGGCAAGACGGAAAGACCCCGUGAACCUUUACUAUAGCUUGACACUGAACACUGGUCCUUGAUGUGUAGGAUAGGUGGGAGGCUUUGAAGCGUGGACGCCAGUCUGCGUGGAGCCGUCCUUGAAAUACCACCCUUUAAUGGCUGGUGUUCUAACGUGGACCCGUGAUCCGGGUUGCGGACAGUGUCUGGUGGGUAGUUUGACUGGGGCGGUCUCCUCCCAAAGAGUAACGGAGGAGCACGAAGGUUAGCUAAUCCUGGUCGGACAUCAGGAGGUUAGUGCAAUGGCAUAAGCUAGCUUGACUGCGAGAGUGACGGCUCGAGCAGGUGCGAAAGCAGGUCAUAGUGAUCCGGUGGUUCUGAAUGGAAGGGCCAUCGCUCAACGGAUAAAAGGUACUCCGGGGAUAACAGGCUGAUACCGCCCAAGAGUUCAUAUCGACGGCGGUGUUUGGCACCUCGAUGUCGGCUCAUCACAUCCUGGGGCUGAAGUAGGUCCCAAGGGUAUGGCUGUUCGCCAUUUAAAGUGGUACGCGAGCUGGGUUUAGAACGUCGUGAGACAGUUCGGUCCCUAUCUGCCGUGGGCGCUGGAGAAUUGAGGGGGGCUGCUCCUAGUACGAGAGGACCGGAGUGGACGCAUCACUGGUGUUCGGGUUGUCAUGCCAAUGGCACUGCCCGGUAGCUAAAUGCGGAAGAGAUAAGUGCUGAAAGCAUCUAAGCACGAAACUUGCCCCGAGAUGAGUUCUCCCUGAGACUUUAAGUCUCCUGAAGGAACGUUGAAGACGACGACGUUGAUAGGCCGGGUGUGUAAGCGCAGCGAUGCGUUGAGCUAACCGGUACUAAUGAACCGUGAGGCUUAACCUU
rnacentral:rRNA from 1 species